rnacentral:misc_RNA from 1 species
UCCUGGUUAACCCAGGCAGUCUCGUUAGAGUUCCCACCUUCACGUGUUGGCAACUAACAAUAAGGGUUGCGCUCGUUGCGGGACUUAACCCAACACCUCACGGCACGAGCUGACGACAGCCAUGCAGCACCUGUGCAGAAGCCCCGAAGGGAACUGUUAUCUCUAACAGCGUCCUCUGCAUGUCAAGUCUGGGUAAGGUUCUUCGCGUUGCAUCGAAUUAAACCACAUGCUCCACUGCUUGUGCGGGUCCCCGUCAAUUCUUUUGAGUUUCACCCUUGCGAGCGUACUCCCCAGGCGGUAUACUUAUCGCGUUAGCUUCGGCACAACUGGGGUUGAGUCCAGUUACACCAAGUAUACAUCGUUUACGGCAAGGACUAC